GUUAAUAAUAGCUAGAAUUUUAUUAAUUCUUGCUAUUAUUAUAUUUGCAUAGACUCGACGAAGCGACUAUCGAUAAGGCUCGAGGCAAACGGAUCGAAAUAUCGUCAUGCUUAUUUGAAGAAUUUGGAUAGCAAGUGGGAUGGUAUGAUAUGAUUUGAAGAGUUAAGCUUCCGAAGUUUUAAUUCUCGGAAGUCAUUUGUAUAAGAAGAAAAAGAAGGUUUUCAUUCUAGCGGUCCGCAGUAGUCUAGAUAUUUUAACUAGAAUUUUGUAUAACGCGUUUUUAACUCUGAUAUUAUUUGUAAAUGGGGUCACAUGUAUUUUAAUAUAUGAAAUAUGUUUUGAUUUGCGAAAAAAAUUUACACAGGUUUUUAGGCUUGCUACGGGAUUUGGAGCUACCA